UUCAAUUUAUAUACUUACAUACAAAUAGUAGAUUUUACAUCUCUUAUAUAUAAUCACAUUAGUGAUUUGCCACUCUGCCAUACGCGCUCUUAUGUAGCGCAUUGAUUAUGUCUAGUGGGUAAAGUAUUGGGCGGCAGGCAAUAGUAGUUUUAGCAGUCAGAGUUGUUUUUUCUCAACAUAUCGUUCACGUUCUUUAUUUUUGAUAUAGUGAACACUUAGGUGCUUGCUGCUGAUGCUUAUGUCGAUAUAGCAGCUAGUCGGGUGAGAGCACUCCGUAGCAGAAUGUUCAGUUGAAUAAACACCAAACAGUAAAACUAAAUCGGGAAAACGCUCAGAAGCACACAAACGAGACAGCAAAAAAGUUUUGUGUUACCGUUUUACAAUUGAUGGGUUGUCUAUCGUAUAUUUACUAUGCUUACAUUUCUCUUUAAAUCUCUUUAGUAUCUCAUUGUUUUCUUCGUUUGUUGUCGAAAAACUUUAAUGAUUGUUUUGAUUGUUAUUCGCUUGAUUAGAAAUUGUAUCUUUGCCAAUUGCCUAUUGUUUCUCGAUCGCUGAUAGUUGUUUAAAUUGUAUGAAUUUGCAUAAAUAGCAGCUUCAACUGAUAAGCAAGUUAAGUAAAUAAAUUAGAUCCCUUACUGCAGACCAAUAUCUUGAGUACAAGAAAAAAUGAAUCAAUUUGGUUUAUGAUCACAGUAGUUCCAGUAACGUAGAUGAUCAGAACUUUCUUUGCCAAUAUAACCUUUCCUGUUCAGCUAACACCAGGUUACAAAUGCAACCAGCCAGAUUUUCUAUAUUAUUUUUCAGACUCAAUAAAAUUUCGAUGAUUUUGGUCAA